rnacentral:rRNA from 1 species
UACGAAGGGGGCUAGCGUUGUUCGGAAUUACUGGGCGUAAAGCGCACGUAGGCGGACUAUUAAGUCAGGGGUGAAAUCCUGGAGCUCAACUCCAGAACUGCCUUUGAUACUGGCGAUCUUGAGUCCGGGAGAGGUGAGUGGAACUGCGAGUGUAGAGGUGAAAUUCGUAGAUAUUCGCAAGAACACCAGUGGCGAAGGCGGCUCACUGGCCCGGUACUGACGCUGAGGUGCGAAAGCGUGGGGAGCAAACAGG